GUGCUCACGUCAGUAGCACGUGUACUGAAGUCGGAAGGAUACAGCGAAGACGAGCUGGUCCCUGCACAAGGACGACACGCAACCGUGCAAAGCGUUCUCUGUGUUC